rnacentral:rRNA from 1 species
UGUAGGCGCAGCGAAAGCGAGUCUUAAUAGGGCGCAUGAGUUAGAUGGAUCAGACCCGAAACCGAGUGAUCUAGGCAUGACCAGGAUGAAGGUAAGGUAACACUUACUGGAGGUCCGAACCCACACCUGUUGAAAAAGGUCGGGAUGAGUUGUGCCUAGGGGUGAAAGGCCAAUCAAACUCGGAGAUAGCUGGUUCUCUGCGAAAUCUAUUUAGGUAGAGCGUCGACCGAAUACCCUCGGGGGUAGAGCACUGGAUGGGCUAUGGGGACUCACCGUCUUACUGAUCCUAACCAAACUCCGAAUACCGAGGAGUACUAGUCGGCAGACACACGGCGGGUGCUAACGUCCGUCGUGAAGAGGGAAACAACCCUGACCUCCAGCUAAGGUCCCCAAGUCAUGGCUAAGUGGGAAAGGAUGUGAGAAUCCCAAAACAACCAGGAUGUUGGCUUAGAAGCAGCCAUCAUUUAAAGAAAGCGUAACAGCUCACUGGUCUA